rnacentral:lncRNA from 1 species
CUCUUUUCUCGCCUUAGAUAAUGGGGGAUAUUUCUUAACUUCCCGAUUAGAUGUUCCUCGGUCUUGGUGUUUGCGUAACCAGUCCUCUAUCAAGCAAUGGUAGAAGCUGUGGGACAGAGCGCUAACUAGAAAGUGAAAGAAAGAAAACUAGUCAGGCAAUGUAACAAGCCAAAAAGGAAGUAAAACACCGAGAAUCGAUGCACCUAAAUCUGUCACAAUCUCGUAAGCAAAUGUGGUGCAGAAAGUUGUUCAUUUGUUCUUGUGUUGGACACCAAGUAAGUUUAAACUAUUUCACAGGGAAUUUUGAUUUGUCGGGCAUCUUUUAAAUGACCCUUGAAGAUAAAAAGAUUUAAAAAAUAUUUUUUUAAAGAAAAGUUGAAAGUAUCAAUUUUUCUUG